UAGGGAAUCUUCGGCAAUGGGGGCAACCCUGACCGAGCAACGCCGCGUGAGUGAAGAAGGUUUUCGGAUCGUAAAGCUCUGUUGUAAGAGAAGAACGUGUGUGAGAGUGGAAAGUUCACACAGUGACGGUAACUUACCAGAAAGGGACGGCUAACUACGUGCCAGCAGCCGGGGUAAUACGUAGGUCCCGAGCGUUGUCCGGAUUUAUUGUGCGUAAAGCGAGCGCAGGCGGUUUAAUUAGUCUGAAGUUAAAGGCAGUGGCUUAACCAUUGAUAGCUUUGGAAACUGUUAAGUUUGAGUACAGCAGGGGGGAGUGGAAUUCCAUGUGUAGCGGUGAAAUUCGUAGAUGUAUGGAGGAACACCGGUGGCGAAAGCGGCUCUCUGGUCGGUAGCUAACGCUGAGGCUCGAAAGCGUGGGGAGCAAAAAGG
rnacentral:rRNA from 1 species